rnacentral:rRNA from 1 species
CAGUAGCCGCGGGAAUACGUAGGGGGCUAGCGUUGCCCGGAAUCACUGGGCGUAAAGGGUUCGCAGGCGGAAAUGCAAGUCAGAUGUAAAAGGCAGUAGCUUAACUACUGUAAGCAUUUGAAACUGCAUAUCUUGAGAAGAGUAGAGGUAAGUGGAAUUUUUAGUGUAGCGGUGAAAUGCGUAGAUAUUAAAAAGAAUACCGGUGGCGAAGGCGACUUACUGGGCUCAUUCUGACGCUGAGGAACGAAAGCGUGGGUAGCAAACAGGAUUAGAUACCCGUGUAGUCCCUGUCUCUUAUACA